AGAACUCCUACGGGAAGGCAGCAGUGGGGGAAUUUCCGCAAUGGGCGAAAGCCUGACGGAGCAAUACCGCGUGAGGGAAGAAGGCUCUUGGGUUGUAAACCUCUUUUCUCAGGGAAUAAAAAAAUGAAGGUACCUGAGGAAUAAGCAUCGGCUAACUCCGUGCCAGCAGCCGCGGUAAUACGGAGGAUGCAAGCGUUAUCCGGAAUGAUUGGGCGUAAAGCGUCCGCAGGUGGUACAACAAGUCUAGUGUCAAAGACCGGGGCUCAACCCCGGGAAGGCGGUGGAAACUGUUGAACUAGAGGGUCGUAGGGGUAGAGGGAAUCCCAGUGUAACGGUGAAAUGCGUAG
rnacentral:rRNA from 1 species